rnacentral:rRNA from 1 species
GCAAGUCGAGCGAGAACAGAGACUUCGGUCUCUUAGUAAAGCGGCGGACGGGUGAGUAACACGUGGAUAAUCUGCCCUUUGGCGGGGGACAACAAUUCGAAAGGAUUGCUAAUACCGCAUAAGUCUAGUGAGCCUCCGGGUUCAUUAGGGAAAGAUGGCCUCUUCUUGAAAGCUAUCACCGAAGGAUGAGUCCGCGUUGCAUCAGCUUGUUGGUGGGGUAAUGGCCUACCAAGGCAAAGACGCAUAGCUGGUCUGAGAGGAUGAUC